rnacentral:rRNA from 1 species
GACGAACGCUGGCGGCGUGCUUAACACAUGCAAGUCGAACGGAAAGGCCCUGCUUUUGUGGGGUGCUCGAGUGGCGAACGGGUGAGUAACACGUGAGUAACCUGCCCUUGACUUUGGGAUAACUUCAGGAAACUGGGGCUAAUACCGGAUAGGAGCUCCUGCUGCAUGGUGGGGGUUGGAAAGUUUCGGCGGUUGGGGAUGGACUCGCGGCUUAUCAGCUUGUUGGUGGGGUAGUGGCUUACCAAGGCUUUGACGGGUAGCCGGCCUGAGAGGGUGACCGGCCACAUUGGGACUGGGAUACGGCCCAGACUCAUACGGGAGGCAGCAGUGGGGAAUAUUGCACAAUGGGCGGAAGCCUGAUGCAGCAACGCCGCGUGCGGGAUGACGGCCUUCGGGUUGUAAACCGCUUUCGCCUGUGACGAAGCGUGAGUGACGGUAAUGGGUAAAGAAGCACCGGCUAACUACGU